rnacentral:rRNA from 1 species
UACGGAGGGAGCUAGCGUUGUUCGGAAUUACUGGGCGUAAAGCGCGCGUAGGCGGCUUUGUAAGUUAGAGGUGAAAGCCCGGAGCUCAACUCCGGAACUGCCUUUAAAACUGCAUCGCUUGAAUCCAGGAGAGGUGAGUGGAAUUCCGAGUGUAGAGGUGAAAUUCGUAGAUAUUCGGAAGAACACCAGUGGCGAAGGCGGCUCACUGGACUGGUGUUGACGCUGAGGUGCGAAAGCGUGGGGAGCAAACAGG